rnacentral:tRNA from 1 species
GCCGAGGUGUUGGAAUGGUAUACAAGGUGGUCUCAAAAACCACUGGGCUCCGGCCCGUGUGGGUUCGACUCCCAUCCUCGGCA